UACGUAGGGCGCAAGCGUUGUCCGGAUUUAUUGGGCGUAAAGAGCUCGUAGGCGGUCUGUUACGUCGGCUGUGAAAACCCGAGGCUCAACCUCGGGCCUGCAGUCGAUACGGGCAGACUAGAGUGCGGUAGGGGAGACUGGAAUUCCUGGUGUAGCGGUGAAAUGCGCAGAUAUCAGGAGGAACACCGGUGGGCGAAGGCGGGUCUCUGGGCCGUAACUGACGCUGGAGGAGCGAAA
rnacentral:rRNA from 1 species